rnacentral:rRNA from 1 species
CCUACGGGAGGCAGCCGUGAGGAAUAUUGGUCAAUGGACGAGAGUCUGAACCAGCCAAGUAGCGUGAAGGAUGACUGCCCUAUGGGUUGUAAACUUCUUUUAUAUGGGAAUAAAAUGUUCCACGUGUGGGAUUUUGUAUGUACCAUAUGAAUAAGGAUCGGCUAACUCCGUGCCAGCAGCCGCGGUAAUACGGAGGAUCCGAGCGUUAUCCGGAUUUAUUGGGUUUAAAGGGAGCGUAGGUGGAUUGUUAAGUCAGUUGUGAAAGUUUGCGGCUCAACCGUAAAAUUGCAGUUGAAACUGGCAGUCUUGAUUACAGUAGAGGUGGGCGGAAGUCGUGGUGUAGCGGUGAAAUGCUUAGAUAUCACGAAGAACUCCGAUUGCGAAGGCAGUUCACUGGACUGCAACUGACACUGAGGCUCGAAAGUGUGGGUAUCAAACAGGAUUAGAUACCCUGGUAGUC